GUGAAUUAAACAUGCUUGGUGUCUUCGCUUCGGCAAGGCCCUUGCUUAAAUCACAUCCUAACACCUGUGAACUGUAAGACGUAUGAUGAGGUCUUUGGCCAAGUCAUCGUCUGCCCAUUUUUAACAAACAAUUAAUGUAACAAACGUAGUCUUAUUAUAAUCUAAUA
rnacentral:misc_RNA from 1 species